GCCGACCCUCUCCUCGAACCGCUGCCUCUUCUCCCUCGCCUCGAGCCACCGCCCUCUGGCCGACAAGCACACCCGCGUCUAGAGUAACCGCCUCAGGCCGUCUAGCGCUCCCGCACCUAGAGCAGCCACCUCGCGAGCCACCGCUUCAGGCCGUCUAGCGCUCCCGGACCUAGAGCUCUAAACCUCCUUAGUAGUUGUAACGUGGCGGUUGGAUCUUAUCGUCGUCGGUCAGUUAUCUUAAACAACGAAAUCGUUGAAGGCUUCCUCAAGGGAGAACCAUACCACUGGUUCGUCCUCUCUAUUGUGUCCUGAUGGAGGUGCGGUGGCCUUUGCGAGAAGUUGGUGGCCUUUGCGAGAAGUUCGUCCUCUCUAUGGUGUCAUGAUGGUGUCGGGCCACCCACAACACGAGAAGUUGGUAAACCUCUGCCUGAAGCGGUACUUCGGACUUCCGACGCAACGCGUCUACUAGCAGAUCCUCCUAAGCCCAGGUAACCGCAAACUUGUAGCUCCGAACCAUCUAUGUAGAUCUCUUUACCAGACCAACAAACGGAGACUACAAUUUACCCUAGAGUACUAGAGAAGCUCAACUCUACAAGUUACAACGUAGGUACUUGUGAUGUUCACGAUUCUAACAAGAAACUGGUAUCAGGAAGCAAAUAAAACGUAACCUGGACAGAACUAAAGGUAGGUACUUAUGACG
rnacentral:rRNA from 1 species